rnacentral:lncRNA from 1 species
UAAAAUUUAGCAAAUUUGCGUGUCUUCAUAUUGUGGAAGCCUGCAGAAUAUUUCAGUGGCAUCAUGAGUGACAAGUUUUUGUAUAGAGGUCAGAGAGAUAAAAGGCACCUGCAGUCAGUUUGAAUGCCCAGGACAACACUGAUUGUGGUGAGCCAGUGAAAGACAUCAGAGAUGUGGAACAAGGGACCACCAAAUGUGGGGUUAACAAAGACACGGAUGUUUCUUCUGUGCUCUUAAUGUCCUUGAGGUUGACUGCUCAUUGUCAGGACAGUCCAGAGUGUUAACCAUACAGAGAAUCUCUGCUGGAAUUAUGUCUGUGUUUUACUAUGAAGUCUUUAGAACAAGCAGGUUGGUGGUGGCGCACACCUUUAGUCCCAUCAUCUGGGAGGCAGAGGCAAGCAGAUCUCUAAAUUCAAGGCCAGCCAGGUCUACAAAGUGAGUUCCAAGCCAGACAAGGACCUGUCUCUAAUACAAGCAAACAAACAACAACAAACACUACCCGCUAUGCUCGGUAUGAUGUACUACUCCAAAGCUCAAGACUCCUUUGCUGUCAGAUGUGUGGUGUAUAUGCAGUUGGACAGGAUUUAGGUUUUGGUUUUUGGUUUUGUUUUAUUUUGAUAUUUUUCUCAGUGUCUAAUUGAAAGCAUGCUUGCUUUCUCAUCACAGCUUUGACAGCUGUCAGAAAAGCCUCUUUGUGGCUUAUGCUAAGAUUAGGAUUGGUUUUUCUUCUAAAACUGUUGGCUUCCUCCGUUCCCUCUCAGCUUAAGCAUGAACAAAGCAAACUUAGUUGACCUUGGGAAGUAUUUGAAUGAAAACUGGAAUGGGGAGGUGCUCAGCUUCCUUGUGACAUAAGAUUUUAAUACAGAUCACUUGUUUGUGGUGAGGGGUUCUUCAUUGAAGUCUGUAUGUAUUUACAAAAUAACUAUUUUUGAGAAGUAUUUAUUACAGUAAUCCAUAAGUAAUUCUUUUAAUCACUUUAAAGUACACUGAAUGCUAAUUUCUGAAAUAAAAGUUUCAGCUAAGUGGCUAUUGCUGUACUUUUUUCUCCCUGAUACGUCCAGUCCAUCUCAGCAGAGUCUCGGAUACGAAAGCAGCUUGAGCUUUUCCUGUGCCUGCAUUCCUGCAGUCUGCUAAGACAGGAGACCAGUGACUAGAUGGCCGGCCUCCAUUUGCAUCUUGACUGAUUCUUAUAUGAUCCUAGACAAAUGACCUAACCUUCCCUCACCUGUAAGAUGGAGACAACAUCCUCCUGUGGAGUGAAUGCAGACAUGACUGGGCAUUGUGUGAAUUUUAGCUGUUGCUGUUCGGUUUUUGUUUUUGUUUUCCCCUGCAGUAAAAAAAACUCUAAGUGUCUAAUUUCUGUCUUUAGUCUCCAUAAAGUUUCACUGUCAAAUUGAAAACUUAAAAGACCUAUUGUUUUCAGUAACAGUUUAAAACCCAACAUUUAAUCAUUCAUUUUUGUAUAGUUAUAAAACAAGUAUGAUUUCAACAGUGGUGUUGGGUAGAAAUUAAUAAAAUCGAGGCUUCUUUUAC